rnacentral:lncRNA from 1 species
AAAAGUUUAGAAGAGAACAGUCACAAAAAUCUUCGUAGAUUGUUAGAGAUUACGAUAACACUUUCGUAGCUAGAAGAUCCGAAGCAGAUAAUGGCUUAGUAGCAAAGGAUGAUGUGUCACAAGUGUUCCCGAGGAAUGAAGACGAGCACCCGAAAUGCAAAGUCACUAUUAAACCGGACGGAACAAUUAUCAUUGAGCCAGCA